AACAAACACUGCCCAACCUCGCAUACAACCACUCAACUUAAAGUCACUCAAUCAACCACUUGGACGCAUCCCCCUUCACCACUCAAUAUCGCACGUCUUUAUCAGGGCCACAGUCACACUUCCAUCAUUCAUUCCUCUUCCACCUGUUCCUACGGUAUUCGGUCUAAAACGUAUGUGCGUGCCUUCUAACUGUUUUGAAUUUUCUCAAAACAGAAAAAGGGAAAUACAUUUCCUGGUUUUAAUCCAUCUACUUAAUUAUAUGUCACGGAUCAUAUAAUUAAUAAGAAAAAUAUCUUGAAAUUGAGCGCAUUCUGACUCCUGACUUCCACCCUGAGUGAUGCGGCCAGACUGAGUUACUCCGCAUCAACACUCACAUAUGUCACAUGAUAGUCACUCAGCACAUUGAACUCAUUGUCAAUUCUAGUGGGUGAUAAAUUUUCAGACAUGUCAAUCCUCUUAGGACAGGGUAAGUAACGUGUGUUCCGCUCGUUGGAGCUCGUCGUAGCGGCUUAUAGAAGUGAAAAUCCAGGUAAACCAUUCAAUUUUCGAUCUCUGGAAUAAUUAUCAUGUGCUAAACAUAACCUCAAAUAUGGUUAACCUGGCUUCAACAGGUUUGCUGGCCAAAUCCCGAUAUUUUUGCCAGCGAGGUCAGAUAAUUCAUAGGAAGAACUACCGUGCUUUUUUACGACUUUACAAGGAAUGUACUGACAACCCAACUUUGCGUUAUAGCCUUCUAACGCGUUGGAAAGUUUUUGAUUCUUCCGGUACACCAAUUGUCCUUCAGAAAAAGGUCCUCUUCGAUGUUUUCAGUAAUACAGGGAUUUCGAAAGUCAGUGCCUGAUCUAGCCAUUUCAUGACCGUGUAUGAUGAAAUAAGGCGAUGCACCUGUCGAGGAAUGACGAGUUGUGUUAAGGAUGCAUUCAACAUCUGAAAUUCUUUCAUCCCAGGUUCGUUGAUCAUUCUUCACAUAUGCUCUUAUAGCUGCAUUAAUGCUUCGAUUUACACGCUCCACUGGGUUCGCUUGGGAGUGGUACUUGGAGUUAAGCCAAUGUUUAACAUUAUUUUCCGUAAGGAACUUUUUGAAUUCCUUGGAAACAAAAGUAGUGGCAUUAUCGCUCAAUAAAAUUUCUGGUGUACCAUUCCUGGCGAACCAGUGGUCCCGUAAAAUCGAACAGAGUGUAGUAGCUUGUAUUUUACGAAUUGGAUGCAGUAAUACCCACUUGGUAAAUACAUCCAAAACAACCAACAGAUGUUGAUUUCCAUGUUUGCUCCUGGGGAGGGGACCAAUGAAAUCCACUGAUAUCAUCCUCCAGGGAUCAGUAGUU